rnacentral:lncRNA from 1 species
UGCUUUUCUGUAGAUUUGCCUUCAGUCAACAAGUAUCAACUGAGUCCACACACCAGGCACGGUGCCAAACACGUUCAAUUCAUUGUGCCGUUUAAUUCUGACAACUCAGGGGUGGGGGACUGCUGACUGGCCCGAGGACGUAACAGCAGGUGGGAUGUCAUUAUGGGCCAUUAGGGGAAUGAACAAACAAGUGGGUUAAGAUUUCAAAAGUAGGUGGAAACUUCAUAACUUCUGGAUUUCACAGCAGAAAGAGCCCAGAGAAGACCCUCCUGUGAUCACAGCGAGGGGCAGGGCUGUGGCUGUACUGCAGAUGAGGGAGGGUCAGGGAUGCACCUGAUGACACCUGCGGUCUCACCUGACUUCGCCUCCUUCCUAAAGCCCCUCCCGAGUGGAACAGGAGGCUCAGGGAUGGGAUGCUGGUGCUGUCUGAAGGACAGAGGUGAAAGUCAGAGGGUCCCCUCGGCUUGAAACACGGCUCAGGUCUCAGACUACCCCUCACACCAACAGCCUUC